rnacentral:lncRNA from 1 species
CAACUUGAAGCCUGCUCCCUAGCACUUUAUAGUCUUCUCUUCAAUCUUACCCCUCCUCCUACUUCUCCCUCCUUGCUUACUUCAACUCUCCACCUUGACACCACCACAUUCUCCUCUUUGUUGAACAUCAGUAUCAACAAAAAUCUAUCUCAUCCGGUCUAGCCCCACACAAACCUAAUUUUCUUAAAAAUGAAAAAGAUCCACCUAAGGUAAGAACUUAACGAGUUUAAACUAUUUUUCCAUCCUUAUUAUAGAUUCAUUUUAAAUUAUAUUGUUUGGAAUGCAUAAGUUGAGAUACAUUCGAAAAGGUUAAUGAGUCUUCUGUAAAAUUUUUCUCCCUCUUCCAGUGCUAAUUGGGUGUACGGAAAGCAGAUGAGGCGACCUGUCUCAGAUUAUAGUAGGAGUUGCUCGGUUGAAAUGGAGCCCUCCCAAUUGCAGUGUUUUGUCAAGGUCUUAAUAGCGUAAGAAAGAAAUCUGAGGAAGUGCGGUGGAGCGGCGGCUGUACUCAUUGAUACGAGAUUUCCGAUGAUGGGUUGGCUAUUGCACGAUCAUUCAAGAAACCACUGCAAAUGAUUUCUUAACCCACUCCUACUCUGCAAAGUAGUAGACAUUAACCAGCAGGACUGCAUCAUUGUAGACAUAGAUCGGAAGUGGCUUAACAUUCUCAAGAGAAAGAUCAAUGUCCACUGUUAUUCGCUACUUGGGUAGCAAACUACGUUUUUUCCUGGAUUGAAGGAAUGCAUCCAAUGGCAAAGUAAACCGUUCGGUUGGCAAAACAACUAAUUGACUGACACUAAUCUUGAUCAUUUGCCAAAAAGAAAAUUUUACUUAAUAAUUAAUUUUAAUUUAUAUUUGUUGCCCCCAAAAUAUAUUAACUUGCAAAAAUAUAUACAGACACGACACUGCCAUUUUUUUUUUGAUGAAUUUAGUUUUUUCCAAUUUACAUGAACAUAUGCAGCCUGAACUACUGAUAAUAAAAAACAGUUUGAACUGAAAUGAAAUUUUGAUGGGCUCAGCCAGUUCAGCCUAUAAAAGAAUUACUAACAUAUUGGCCCAUUGUUUUUGGGUAAUUAGAUAUUUUUUAUUAGUAUUUGGUAAAAGGCUUAAUUUAUCAUUUGGUACUUGAAUUUGACACAAUUUUGAUCUAAUGUGAUACUUGUAUUUGGCAAAAGUUAUACAUUUUGGUACCCCGGG